GCCGAAAUAGCUCAGAUGGGAGAGCGUCAGACUGAAGAUCUGAAGGUCCCUGGUUCAAUCCCGGUUUUCUGAA
rnacentral:tRNA from 1 species